UACAGAGGGUGCGAGCGUUGUCCGGAAUCAUUGGGCGUAAAGCGCGCGUAGGUGGCCUCGUAAGUCCGCUGUGAAAGUCAAAGGCUCAACCUUUGAAAGCCGGUGGAUACUGUGAGGCUAGAGUACGGAAGAGGCGAGUGGAAUUCCUGGUGUAGCGGUGGAAUGCGCAGAUAUCAGGAGGAACACCAAUAGCGAAGGCAGCUCGCUGGGACGUUACUGACACUGAGGCGCGAAAGCGUGGGGAGCGAACAGG
rnacentral:rRNA from 1 species